rnacentral:rRNA from 1 species
CCUACGGGCGGCAGCAGUGGGGAAUAUUGCACAAUGGGGGAAACCCUGAUGCAGCGACGCCGCGUGAGUGAAGAAGUAAUUCGUUACGUAAAGCUCUAUCAGCAGGGAAGAAAAUGACGGUACCUGAGUAAGAAGCCCCGGCUAACUACGUGCCAGCAGCCGCGGUAAUACGUAGGGGGCAAGCGUUAUCCGGAUUUACUGGGUGGAAAGGGGGCGUAGACGGGGCGCCAAGCCUGGAGUGAAAUGCCGGAGCUUAACUGCGGGAAUGCUUUGGAAACUGGGGAACAGGAGUGCGGGAGGGGCAGGCGGAAUUCCUGGUGUAGCGGUGAAAUGCGUAGAUAUUAGGAGGAACACCGGUGGCGAAGGCGGCCUGCUGGACCGUAACUGACGUUGAGGCCCGAAAGCGUGGGGAGCAAACAGGAUUAGAUACCCGUGUAGUC